AUUGAACGCUGGCGGCAUGCUUUACACAUGCAAGUCGAACGGUAACAGGUUAAGCUGACGAGUGGCGAACGGGUGAGUAAUGCAUCGGAACGUGCCCGGUCGUGGGGGAUAACGCAGCGAAAGCUGCGCUAAUACCGCAUACGAUCUGAGGAUGAAAGCGGGGGACCGUAAGGCCUCGCGCGAUCGGAGCGGCCGAUGUCAGAUUAGGUAGUUGGUGGGGUAAAGGCUCACCAAGCCGACGAUCUGUAGCUGGUCUGAGAGGACGACCAGCCACACUGGGACUGAGACACGGCCCAGACUCCUACGGGAGGCAGCAGUGGGAAUUUUGGACAAUGGGCGAAAGCCUGAUCCAGCAAUGCCGCGUGCAGGAAGAAGGCCUUCGGGUUGUAAACUGCUUUUGUACGGAGCGAAAAGGCCCUCUCUAAUACAGGGGGUUUAUGACGGUACCGUAAGAAUAAGCACCGGCUAACUCUGUGCCAGCAGCCGCAGUAA
rnacentral:rRNA from 1 species